AGGGAGUUUACUUCUGAGGUGGCGAGCGGCGGACGGGUGAGUAAUGCCUAGGGAUCUGCCCAGUCGAGGGGGAUAACAGUUGGAAACGACUGCUAAUACCGCAUACGCCCUACGGGGGAAAGGAGGGGACCUUCGGGCCUUCCGCGAUUGGAUGAACCUAGGUGGGAUUAGCUAGUUGGUGAGGUAAUGGCUCACCAAGGCGACGAUCCCUAGCUGUUCUGAGAGGAUGAUCAGCCACACUGGGACUGAGACACGGCCCAGACUCCUACGGGAGGCAGCAGUGGGGAAUAUUGCACAAUGGGGGAAACCCUGAUGCAGCCAUGCCGCGUGUGUGAAGAAGGCCUUCGGGUUGUAAAGCACUUUCAGUAGGGAGGAAAGGGUGAAGCUUAAUACGCUAUAUCUGUGACGUUACCUACAGAAGAAGGACCGGCUAACUCCGUGCCAGCAGCCGCGGUAAUACGGAGGGUCCGAGCGUUAAUCGGAAUUACUGGGCGUAAAGCGUGCGCAGGCGGUUUGUUAAGCGAGAUGUGAAAGCCCUGGGCUCAACCUAGGAAUAGCAUUUCGAACUGGCGAACUAGAGUCUUGUAGAGGGGGGUAGAAUUCCAGGUGUAGCGGUGAAAUGCGUAGAGAUCUGGAGGAAUACCGGUGGCGAAGGCGGCCCCCUGGACAAAGACUGACGCUCAUGCACGAAAGCGUGGGGAGCAAAC
rnacentral:rRNA from 1 species